AUUGAACGCUGGCGGCAGGCCUAACACAUGCAAGUAGAGCGAGAGGCGGACGGGUGCGUGAGGUAUGGGGACUGCCCGAGAGAGGGGGAUAAGUACUGGAAAAGGAGGCUAAUACCGCAUACUGUAGGAUAACCGAGAUGGGAUUAGAUAGUAGGUGGGGUAAAGGCACACGUAGUCGCAGAACUCGAGCUGGUCUGCGAGGAGGAUCAGCUCCACUGGGACUGAGACACGGCCCCGUCGCCUACGGAGGCAGCAGUGGGGCAUAUUGCACAGUGGGCGCAAGCCUUAUGCAGCCAGGCCGCGUGUAUGAAGAAGGCCUUAGGGUUGUAAAGUACUUUCAGCGGGGAGGCGUUACCCGCAGAGGAAGCACCGUCUAACUCCGUGCCAGCCGCCGCGGUAAUAC
rnacentral:rRNA from 1 species